GACGAACGCUGGCGGCGUGCUUAACACAUGCAAGUCGAACGGAAAGGCCCUGCUUUUGUGUGGUACUCGAGUGGCGAACGGAUGAGUAACACGUGAGUAACCUGCCCUUGACUUUGGGAUAACUUCAGGAAACUGAGGCUAAUACCGGAUAGGAGCUCCUGCUGCAUGGUGGGGGUUGGAAAGUUUCGGCGGUUGGGGAUGGACUCGCGGCUUAUCAGCUAGUUGGUGGGGUAGUGGCUUACCAAGGCUUUGACGGGUAGCCGGCCUGAGAGGGUGACCGGCCACAGUGGGACUGAGAUAGGGGCCAGAGUCCUACGGGAGGCAGCAGUGGGGGAUAGUGCACGAUGGGCGGAAGCCGGAUGCAGCAACGUCGCGUGCGGGAGGACGGCCUUCGGGUUGUAAACCGCUUUUGGCUGUGACGAAGAGGGAGUGACGGUAAUGGGUAAAAAAGCACCGGCUAACUACGUG
rnacentral:rRNA from 1 species